rnacentral:rRNA from 1 species
AAUCAACGCUGGCGGCGUGCCUCAGACAUGCAAGUCGAACGCGAAAGGUUCCUUCGGGAGCCGAGUAGAGUGGCGCUCGGGUGAGUAACACGUAGGUAAUUUGCCUUUGGGUGGGGAAUAACAAUCGGAAACGGUUGCUAAUACCGCAUAAUGCAGCGGCUCGACAUCGAGACAGUUGUUAAAGCGGGGGAUCCUUCGGGACCUCGCGCCUAAAGAGAAGCCUGCGGCGGAUUAGCUAGUUGGUGAGGUAAUGGCUCACCAAGGCGACGAUCCGUAACCGGCCUGAGAGGGCGGACGGUCACACUGACACUUAAAUACGGGUCAGACUCCUACGGGAGGCAGCAGUCGGGAAUUUUGGGCAAUGGGCGAAAGCCUGACCCAGCAACGCCGCGUGAAGGAUG